UCCGGUGGGAAGGGGGGAGAGGCAGGGGAAGAAGCAGAUGCCCCACUGAGCAGGAAGCCUGAGGAUGUGGGGCUCCGUCCCAGGACCCUGGAUCUGGACCCGAGCAGAAGGCAGAUGCUUAACCAACUGAGCCACCCAGUCGCCCCCAGCAGCGAAGGGGACAGAUGCCUCCACCUCUGUUUACCUGUCCAGGUCUAGACCUUCUCUCAAAGCUCGGGAGCUACCCCCGAGUCCCCCGACUAUACCUGCAGACAUCAGUGUCCCCCUUUGUGGCCUUGGCAGAGAACAGACUACACUUGGCCCAUCAUCUGGACAGCGACGAGUAAUCAUGAGUAUACAGUUGCAUUUUAGCCAACAGUAUCAAAUUUCCCCUUCGCCGAUUUUUCCACAACCAACACAAAGUUCAAGAACUUGGAUUGGUGUGUUUUACCUUUUCUCUUUGUCCCUGGACACACUGAAGUGGCUCUUCCAUUAAGAGUGAAAUUGUCAAAAAGGAGGA
rnacentral:lncRNA from 1 species